rnacentral:lncRNA from 1 species
CUCCUCACCAGCUAACCCCAGGAGGAGGGGGGUGAUGCUCAGCUUCAGCAAAGCUCUGGCUGUGUAUUUACAGGUCACAUUUGAUGGCCAUUCACCUGGCACUGGAUCCCAGGCUCACCGCUGUCCCGGGGAGCUUCUACUGGCACCAGUGGGAAGCUGUUUGCUGAGUAGGAAGACUGAAUGCUUCUGACUGGGAUUGUAGUCCUGGCUCUGUCCUGAGACUCUGAUCAUCUCUGGAUGGGACACCCCAUUCAUCAUGCCUCUGCUGCCUCAUCUGUAGGAUGAAGGUGACAAUCCUAAUCUUCUUCGUAAAGCACUCUGAUACUCACUGGCAAAGGAGCUGUGGAACUGCAGAGCUAAGUCGACUGAAAUGGGUGUAUUAUUUUUGCUGAAGAUUGGAGCUUUUCAAAAGGCUGAGCUAACUGAAGCAGUAGUUAAACAACAGGAGAAAUAACUGGGUCAGGAGCUGUAUUUAUGAACAACGGCAGGGUCACAUUACUCACUGUGAAUAAUUUAUCUGACAAAGACGUAUAGUUUGCAUAAUUUUCUUAAAACAAUGUGGUGUAAAUAUUGAAGUCUGCUGAAUAAUUUGAGAGAUGAGUCAAUAGGAUUUGGUUAAGAUCCAACAACUUCUCGAAUUAUUGAAUCCCUCAUUCCCGGAUACUUACUUGAACAGCAUCAGCUGCAAUACAAGUAGGUUCCCAUUCACUCCAGCUGGAAGUUCCCUUCAUGGUGUGGGUUUAAGAACAGGCUCAACACUGUGGGGAGAAAUUGGCCCUUCAGGGGCAUGGGAUGUUGCAGACAGUACCCCAUCAAGUCUUGCCUGUUGUAGCAAAGCCUGUUAUGAAGAAUGGAGGCUUGUGAGUCAGGAAGAAGUUCCUGUGUCUCAUGGGGCUGAUGACAGCCAUUGCCCUUUGUCAGCUCCUCCAUUUCUCCAUCUAAUUGCAGAAGACGAAGCGACUCAGUGCACUGGAUGGCCAUCUGGUUUCUGUAGGACAUGCUGGAAGUGGCUUCUUAAAUGUAAGUAGAAAAGCUAAAGACUGAUUUCUUCCCGACAUGUCCCACUGGCUA